GUGGUUUUCUUUUCAAAGCACAAAAAAACAACAUUACAACAUUGGCUCUUGGGGGACAAACUGUGGUAGGCUCAAACACUGCAAAUCCAUAAAUGUGUAUAACAUACAGAAAUGACUUCAAUCCAAGAUGACAAACACAAUUAGUUCCUAAGAAAUGCCACUGUGGCAACACGAGAUCCGACAGAUCCUCCAAAGGUGAAUGUCGGGUACGUACGAACAUGGCUGAGGUACUGAAAUGUAGGCGAUUCUCUUUGUGUUCCAU
rnacentral:misc_RNA from 1 species